rnacentral:tRNA from 1 species
GUCUCCGUACCUCAGCAGGAUAGAGGGUCCGCCUCCUAAGCGGAACGUCGCAGGUUCGAUUCCUGUCGGGGACGCCA